AUUGAACGCUGGCGGCAGGCUUAACACAUGCAAGUCGAGCGGGGUGAUGGUGCUUGCACUAUCACUUAGCGGCGGACGGGUGAGUAAUGCUUAGGAAUCUGCCUAUUAGUGGGGGACAACAUCUCGAAAGGGAUGCUAAUACCGCAUACGUCCUACGGGAGAAAGCAGGGGAUCACUUGUGACCUUGCGCUAAUAGAUGAGCCUAAGUCGGAUUAGCUAGUUGGUGGGGUAAAGGCCUACCAAGGCGACGAUCUGUAGCGGAUCUGAGAGGAUGAUCCGCCACACUGGGACUGAGACACGGCCCAGACUCCUACGGGAGGCAGCAGUGGGGAAUAUUGGACAAUGGGGGGAACCCUGAUCUAGCCAUGCCGCGUGUGUGAAGAAGGCCUUAUGGUUGUAAAGCACUUUAAGCGAGGAGGAGGCUCUUUUGGUUAAUACCCAGAAUGAGUGGACGUUACUCGCAGAAUAAGCACCGGCUAACUCUGUGCCAGCAGCCGCCGUAA
rnacentral:rRNA from 1 species